ACCAGCAUGAUGUAGUGGUUUGAGCAUUAGAUUAAGACUCUGGAGACCAGAGUUCAAAUCCCUGUUCAGCCA